rnacentral:rRNA from 1 species
UACGGGGGGGGCAAGCGUUGUUCGGAAUUACUGGGCGUAAAGGGCGCGUAGGCGGCCUUCUAAGUCGGACGUGAGAUCCCUCGGCUUAACCGGGGAACUGCGUCUGAUACUGGAUGGCUAGAGUGUGGGAGAGGGAUGCGGAAUUCCAGGUGUAGCGGUGAAAUGCGUAGAUAUCUGGAGGAACACCGGUGGCGAAGGCGGCAUCCUGGACCACGACUGACACUGAAAAGCGAAAGCCAGGGGAGCAAACGGG